UACGUAGGCAGCGAGCGUUGUUCGGAGUUACUGGGCGUAAAGGGUGUGUAGGCGGUUGUUUAAGUUUGGUGUGAAAUCUCCCGGCUCACCUGGGAGGGGUCGCGGGAAACGACCGGACUGGAGCACGGUAGGGGGCCAUGGAAUUCCCGGUGUAGUGGUGGAAUGCGUAGAGAUCGGGAGGAACACCCGUGGCGAAGGCGGUGGCCUGGACCGAUGCUGACGCUGAGGCGCGAAAGCGUGGGGAGCGAUCCGG
rnacentral:rRNA from 1 species